rnacentral:rRNA from 1 species
UACUUAGGAAUCAGCCUGUAGUGGGGGACAACCCGAGGAAACUCGCUAAUACCGCAUAAUCUCUUCGGAGGAAAGCGGGGGAUCUUCGGACCUCGCGCUAUUGGAUGAGCCUAAGUCAGAUUAGCUUGAUGGUGGGGUAACGGCCUACCAUGGCAACGAUCUGUAGCUGGUCUGAGAGGACGAUCAGCCACACUGGGACUGAGACACGGCCCAGACUCCUACGGGAGGCAGCAGUGGGGAAUAUUGGACAAUGGGGGCAACCCUGAUCCAGCAAUGCCGCGUGUGUGAAGAAGGCCUGCGGGUUGUAAAGCACUUUCAGUAGAGAAGAAAAGCUUAGGGUUAAUAGCCUUGAGUCUUGACGUUACCUACAGAAGAAGCACCGGCUAACUCCGUGCCAGCAGCCGCGGUAAUACGGAGGGUGCGAGCGUUAAUCGGAAUUACUGGGCGUAAAGCGCGCGUAGGGGUUUUAUAAGUCGGAUGUGAAAGCCCUGGCUUAACCUGGGAAUUGCAUUCGAAACUAUUUGACUAGAGUAUGGGAGAGGGAAGUGGAAUUUCCGGUGUAGCGGUGAAAUGCGUAGAUAUCGGAAGGAACACCAGUGGCGAAGGGACUUCCUGGACCAAUACUGACGCUGAGGUGCGAAAGGUGGGGAGCAAACAGGAUUAGAUACCCUGGUAGUCCACGCUGUAAACGAUGAGAACUAGAUGUUGGAAGGGUCUGCCUUUCGGUGUCGCAGCUAGCGCGUUAAGUUCUCCGCCUGGGGAGUACGGCCGCA